GGAGAGAUGGCUGAGCUGGUCUAAGGCGCACGACUGGAAAUCGUGUGACGGUGGAAGCCGUCCGAGAGUUCGAAUCUCUCUCUCUCCGCCA
rnacentral:tRNA from 1 species